GUGCUCGCUUUGGCAGCACAUAUACUAAAUGUCAGGAACAUAUACUCUGUGUCAGGAAUGACACAGAGAAGAUUAGCAUGGUCCCUGCGCAAGGAUGGCAUGCAAAGCUGAAAGGAGCCUGAUAUCUCU
ensembl:snRNA Gm25718 predicted gene, 25718